CACUUGGUGGGUGCAUCGAGAAUUAGUGUGGUACGAAAAUAGAGCUACGCACGCCGCCGGGGCUGAUAUGGCUGAUUUGGCUGAUAUGGCUAGGAGUCUACCUGUGACGUACGCAAAUUGAAAACGAAAAGCGUCUGCCAAUGGCGGGGGGAGCUUCCUCAUUUGGUAAGGCCGUAUGUUUUUGGCUUGAAAUGAAAAACUGCUCCUCCAACGGGGGACGAGACGCCCUCGCCCAGGCUUGGUGCCAUCAACAGGGACUGAGUAAGGGGCUAAGAGACGGAGGGGAGGAGCUUCAAGAGCGAGCUGAAGAAAACUGCUCACCACAGGUUUUCGUGAAUGAAAGUUCAACUCAGAAGAGAGAAGAUUGGGCACGGCAGGACAAAAAACCUGGGAAACCGAAUUUCUUCAGGACAAGAAUAAGAAGAAUGUCCAAAUAUUUGGACCGGGGCCAAAUCAGAACCCUAGCUGCAAUGCCCCGAUCUGUGACGGGGGAAUUGUAAUAGGUUGGUUAGAUUGUGGACGGGAACAGAGAUCGCGGAGAUUGGUCCGGACCCAUUGGACAGUCUCCAAGGCAGUUGGCAAAGUUGAACUUACCCCGUAUAUUGGUUCUCUAUUCAUGUUGGCGUUUCCUAGUGUUGGGGUGUCACCGUCUCAGUCUCAAAAUCUGGAGAUUCAUCCCACAAUUUCGAUCCCAGAUCAAGGGAUGGAUGGAUGUAUUGGUUGUCAAAUGCGGAAACACGACGGGGGCACGAACGAAACACCAGAUUCAGAUCAGAGGAAAGGGAGUGAUGAUGCUGCCGCACUCGACGCACUAAUUCAUAUUCCUGUGGAUACGACAGGAGCAGUUCGGGAUCAUGGGCCUCUUCUCGCACUUCGUUGUGAGUCUUCUCGAUGUGGAGGAAGGCAGUCGCUAUCUUAUGUCGUCGUUGGCACCACUACUGCCAUCACCACCAUCACCCCUACCACUGCUACUGCCACUGCUUCUGAUCUAGCUCUCGUUCUUCAAGGUCGAUUUCCACGAUUCGUUUAAUGAGUCAACGGGAAAAAUCCGGGCGAGUUGUAGCCGUCUCGGAAAAGGCCUCUUGGAAACCAACACCAGUCACUUCACGUGGCCUUUCUUUCCGUGGUCCACUGUACAUACAGUGUACACAAACAUGCACCUUCACCCACACGGCGUCAAAGUCUCUGAAUCGAAAUCACUUCAGAGAGCAAAUCUGGCGAAGGUUGGAGACGUUGUGGUUACGACCAUCGCCCGCCCUCUCAACUAUCCUGGCAAACCUACCAAUCGAUUGAACCCUCCUCCAUCUCCUCCACCACCACCACCACCGCUAUCCACACGACGAGCGGGUCCCACCUCAUAUGCAGUGGUGGCAUGUACUGUCUCAAACUCAUUCAUGUCUUAAGGGCUGACAAGCUCUUUCGAUUCCUUCUUUUUAGCGUAAGUAGUACCUAGCACGGAAAGGUACUCUUGCCAUCUUGACAGCGGCCGGUUUCAGGCAAAACCGGCCAAGCUCCAUCUAUCCAACCAUCCGUCCACCCCACCUUCUCCUCCUUCUUCUCCUCUUCCGAACUCAGGCUUGGAAGUUCCUCGUGCACUUUCGUCCUGGUGCAGGAGCUCCCUUCACUCCACUCCAUUCCCCCUUGGUUGGUUGGUUGGUUGGUUGGUUUGUUGGUUCGUGGAUUCUUUUCCAAAGCUCUUCCGCGCCCUUCCCAAGAAUCCUUUGGCCCCGCCACUCUCGUCGUUCUCUUGCUCUUUCUUUCCAUUGUUGGUCCUCAUGUUCACUGCUUGGUUGAAUCCUUGUUUCUGUUCUCCUUCCUGAUCAACUGUACCGAGUCCGGUGCUCACAUACGUUAAGGAGUGUAUGUAGAAGUAGUGGUACAUUCGUAGUUACAUGACGUGAGGCUAUGUGCCAAGAAGCAAGAUCUAUCCAUGGUGCGAGUUGGUUGAAGACACGCCAUUCCAGGCUAACUUUUGAACAUGCACGGUGCGCACGUACACUAGAUAGACAGAAAACGAGAGAUCUGAUGAAAGAGUCGAGAAGGGCUAAAACCGAUUUGACUGCAGAGGUUGGAGCCCAAUUGCCGGGAGAGUAGAGGUAGAGGUAAAGGGCGACACCCUUCUCCCUCUCCCUUGAUUGCAGCCCAGUUCUGCGGAUGUCAGAGCUUGGAUGUACAAGAAGUGCCAAGAGAUUGCCUACCACACCGUCCAUGUACGUUCAUUGGACAAACCAGCAGGCUGAAACAUCAUGGGAGCGGUGUUUUAGAGCGAAUUCUCUCAGCUUCCUCCACUAAUCCAAAUGGCAGAGCAUAUUAACUUAAUCUCCGAAGACGACGACGACGACGACGACGACGUCUGUGAUCACCUGCAAGUUGCUCCAGUCAGCCAUGUACAUGAAGGAAUGGAAGAUGAAGUAAAACUAUCUGCGGCCAGUAGCCAACCCACCAACCCACAUAUCCACCUAUCGACCCAACAUCCCUCCAACCCACCGAACCACGAAUCAACCACCGUUAUGGAAUUUGUUCGUCGUCCGUCCUGAUACUAUUUCUCCUCUUCCGCAAUCUUUUACUCAUUCGUCUUCACCAGAAUUAUGAACGCAUUUCUUUGUGAACUCGAAGGACUUGGGCCUCAGCUUCCAUUUUUCCAUGAAAGCCCAAUGCUCGAUCUGGGAAGGUAUGAAUAUGGCGAUGGGCAUGUCAAACACAUCUUGGAGAAGAACUUUACCAUUUGCCUCGCCUUUGAUCGCAAAGAUUGAUAAUCUAAUCAGUAAAAACACGUGAUCCCCAAAACCAGACCGGUUAUUUUGCAUUCAGGAACGUCAGGAGUUCAAAGCUAUCAUGUGGUGCUUCAUCUUGAUCAAACUCAUAUUGAGCCAUACCUUGUGGAGUUGGACUUCGAUUUUGAAUUCUAGAAUCCAAUUCUAUUUACGCCGUAAGAUCUUUGUAGUAUUCAGUUUCUUGAAAGUUUUCUCCCCAUGUCUAUCUCAACCUCGGCACAAUGGAAUGAGAAUCUCAUUGUUAAAUGCCUUCAAAUUCUCAGCUGUAAAUCUCUGACGAGGUAGAUUGCUUCUCGUUAGAGGUCAUUUAUUCGAUUGCCAAGAUCAUUGCAAGAACGAGGAGUGGUUCACAAACUGUUCAGAUCAUGAGGGUGCAGAAAUUGCGUAAAGCGGUUUUCAUACGCUUCCAAGGGGACUUUUUGGCAAAUUGGAGAUCCGAAGAUGAAUGUAGUACAGAGUUGUCUCAAUCUUGUACAACAUUCCAAACAAAAAUAUCGCUCCUCUCUUAAUCGAAGAAAUAGUUUUGUUGACGCAUUUGGCCAAAAAGAUUGUUGAAAUUUAGAGGACGCACAUUUAGAACAACGAUGUAUGUUCGUUACCCAUCUCUCCAAUCUGAGGCGAGAAAUAGUCCCCAAGGAAAUUUCGUCCUCAUUGGUUUUACAUAUGAUUGCCCUCUGACGUGUUUUAAAGCAUGACAAGGUUUUUGUUGGAGAGUAAUUUCAAACUUUUGAAGCUCUGAUACUAAGCAUGGUUUUUUCCUUUCACUCAGUCUUCGCGGAUCUCACCAUUGUAACAAAUGAAAAACUUGAAUCUUGAGGGACACAUUGAAAGUUUAUUUGAAGGUUGCGUGGUUUUUAAGGAUCUUGAAACCAUCGCCCCGGCUUUAAUCUCGGGCCUGUAUUUGCAUGUAUGGAUGUACGUACGAGUGUGAAGUAAAUGGAGGCGGUGGCCAUAGAUUUGGAUUAAGUAUUUGGUCAAAGGCCAAAACUUCCAGUUGUUGUUUUUCUUGCGAUCAAAGCGAAAGGAACAAGCUUGGUAAAAUAAUUAUGUCUGAAAGUAGCCCCGAUUAAGUUAGUAUACGAGAUCACAUUUGUUUUAAGGGAUAUAUUUUAAAGAUAUUUUAGAUAAUUCGCACUAUUUUUUGCUUUUACUGAAUGUUUCCAACAAGUCUAGUUUUUUUUCAUUCAACUCUUGACAGUUGCUUUAAGAUAUCAAUAGAGCAUUUUGUGGCCAAAUUUGUAGCAAAAUGCUAGUUUUGAUUGCAACAUUGAACCAUCUGAGCAAUAGCUCCUGAUGAAAU